rnacentral:rRNA from 1 species
UACAGAGGGUGCAAGCGUUAAUCGGAAUUACUGGGCGUAAAGCGUGCGUAGACGGUUAUGUAAGUCGGGUGUGAAAGCCCCGGGCUCAACCUGGGAAUGCCAUUCGAGACUGCAUAGCUAGGGUGCGGAAGAGGGAAGCGGAAUUUCCGGUGUAGCGGUGAAAUGCGUAGAGAUCCGGAGGAACACCGAAGGCGAAGGCAGUGUCCUGGCUGGUGACUGACGCUGAGGUGCGAAAGCUAGGGGAGCGAACGGG